rnacentral:piRNA from 1 species
UGUUAGAGCAAAACUUCUUGUAUCAUGGCA